rnacentral:rRNA from 1 species
ACGGACUGGCGCCUAGUGGAAUCUCGCUGGAAACGGGGACCAUGAGAAAUCGUGAGAACCGUCGAUGGCGAGGGGAAGCUAUUAGCUGGUCAGUGGCGAACGGGUGAGUAACACGUGGGUGACCUGCCCCGAAGUGGGGGAUAACUGCUCGAAAGGGUAGCUAAUACCGCAUAUGCUUCGGCAUUCGUUUGUCGAAGUAAAGGAGUAAUCCGCUUUGGGAGGGGCCCGCGGCCCAUCAGCUAGUUGGUAGGGUAAUGGCCUACCAAGGCAAUGACGGGUAGCUGGUCUGAGAGGACGAUCAGCCACACUGGCACUGAGACACGGGCCAGACUCCUACGGGAGGCAGCAGUGAGGAAUAUUGCGCAAUGGGCGAAAGCCAGACGCAGCAACGCCGCGUGGGCGAUGAAGGUCUUCGGAUCGUAAAGCCCUUUUCCAGAGGAAGAGGAAGGACAGUACUCUGGGAAUAAGUCUCGGCUAACUACGUGCCAGCAGCCGCGGUAAAACGUAGGAGGCAAGCGUUAUCCGGAUUCAUUGGGCGUAAAGCGCGUGCAGGCGGUGCUUUAAGUUGGACGUGAAAUCUCCCGGCCUAACUGGGAGCGGCCGUUCAAUACUGAGGCACUUGAGGUCGGAAGAGGGGAGUGGAAUUCCCGGUGUAGCGGUGGAAUGCGUAGAUAUCGGGAGGAACACCCGUGGCGAAAGCGGCUUCCUGGUCCGCACCUGACGCUAAGACGCGAAAGCUAGGGGAGCGAACGGGAUUAGAUACCCCGGUAGUCCUAGCUGUAAACGAUGGAUACUAGGUGU